GGAUGGCUCAAUCGGCGAUAGCCUUUUCGGCUCAUAACCGGUCGGUCCCAGGUUCGAAUCCUGGUGGGCCCACCA
rnacentral:tRNA from 1 species